GAUUAAGUUAUUAAGGGCGCACGGUGGAUGCCUUGGCACUAGAAGCCGAUGAAGGACGUUACUAACGACGAUAUGCUUUGGGGAGCUGUAAGUAAGCUUUGAUCCAGAGAUUUCCGAAUGGGGAAACCCAGCAUGAGUUAUGUCAUGUUAUCGAUAUGUGAAUACAUAGCAUAUCAGAAGGCACACCCGGAGAACUGAAACAUCUUAGUACCCGGAGGAAGAGAAAGAAAAUUCGAUUCCCUUAGUAGCGGCGAGCGAAACGGGAAGAGCCCAAACCAACAAGCUUGCUUGUUGGGGUUGUAGGACACUCUAUACGGAGUUACAAAGGACGACAUUAGACGAAUCAUCUGGAAAGAUGAAUCAAAGAAGGUAAUAAUCCUGUAGUCGAAAAUGUUGUCUCUCUUGAGUGGAUCCUGAGUACGACGGAGCACGUGAAAUUCCGUCGGAAUCUGGGAGGACCAUCUCCUAAGGCUAAAUACUCUCUAGUGACCGAUAGUGAACCAGUACCGUGAGGGAAAGGUGAAAAGCACCCCGGAAGGGGAGUGAAAUAGAACCUGAAACCGUGUGCUUACAAGUAGUCAGAGCCCGUUAAUGGGUGAUGGCGUGCCUUUUGUAGAAUGAACCGGCGAGUUACGAUUUGAUGCAAGGUUAAGCAGUAAAUGUGGAGCCGUAGCGAAAGCGAGUCUGAAUAGGGCGUUUAGUAUUUGGUCGUAGACCCGAAACCAGGUGAUCUACCCUUGGUCAGGUUGAAGUUCAGGUAACACUGAAUGGAGGACCGAACCGACUUACGUUGAAAAGUGAGCGGAUGAACUGAGGGUAGCGGAGAAAUUCCAAUCGAACCUGGAGAUAGCUGGUUCUCUCCGAAAUAGCUUUAGGGCUAGCCUCAAGUGAUGAUUAUUGGAGGUAGAGCACUGUUUGGACGAGGGGCCCCUCUCGGGUUACCGAAUUCAGACAAACUCCGAAUGCCAAUUAAUUUAACUUGGGAGUCAGAACAUGGGUGAUAAGGUCCGUGUUCGAAAGGGAAACAGCCCAGACCACCAGCUAAGGUCCCAAAAUAUAUGUUAAGUGGAAAAGGAUGUGGCGUUGCCCAGACAACUAGGAUGUUGGCUUAGAAGCAGCCAUCAUUUAAAGAGUGCGUAAUAGCUCACUAGUCGAGUGACACUGCGCCGAAAAUGUACCGGGGCUAAACAUAUUACCGAAGCUGUGGAUUGUCCUUUGGACAAUGGUAGGAGAGCGUUCUAAGGGCGUUGAAGCAUGAUCGUAAGGACAUGUGGAGCGCUUAGAAGUGAGAAUGCCGGUGUGAGUAGCGAAAGACGGGUGAGAAUCCCGUCCACCGAUUGACUAAGGUUUCCAGAGGAAGGCUCGUCCGCUCUGGGUUAGUCGGGUCCUAAGCUGAGGCCGACAGGCGUAGGCGAUGGAUAACAGGUUGAUAUUCCUGUACCACCUAUAAUCGUUUUAAUCGAUGGGGGGACGCAGUAGGAUAGGCGAAGCGUGCGAUUGGAUUGCACGUCUAAGCAGUAAGGCUGAGUAUUAGGCAAAUCCGGUACUCGUUAAGGCUGAGCUGUGAUGGGGAGAAGACAUUGUGUCUUCGAGUCGUUGAUUUCACACUGCCGAGAAAAGCCUCUAGAUAGAAAAUAGGUGCCCGUACCGCAAACCGACACAGGUAGUCAAGAUGAGAAUUCUAAGGUGAGCGAGCGAACUCUCGUUAAGGAACUCGGCAAAAUGACCCCGUAACUUCGGGAGAAGGGGUGCUCUUUAGGGUUAACGCCCAGAAGAGCCGCAGUGAAUAGGCCCAAGCGACUGUUUAUCAAAAACACAGGUCUCUGCUAAACCGUAAGGUGAUGUAUAGGGGCUGACGCCUGCCCGGUGCUGGAAGGUUAAGAGGAGUGGUUAGCUUCUGCGAAGCUACGAAUCGAAGCCCCAGUAAACGGCGGCCGUAACUAUAACGGUCCUAAGGUAGCGAAAUUCCUUGUCGGGUAAGUUCCGACCCGCACGAAAGGCGUAACGAUUUGGGCACUGUCUCAACGAGAGACUCGGUGAAAUCAUAGUACCUGUGAAGAUGCAGGUUACCCGCGACAGGACGGAAAGACCCCGUGGAGCUUUACUGUAGCCUGAUAUUGAAAUUCGGCACAGCUUGUACAGGAUAGGUAGGAGCCUUUGAAACGUGAGCGCUAGCUUACGUGGAGGCGCUGGUGGGAUACUACCCUAGCUGUGUUGGCUUUCUAACCCGCACCACUUAUCGUGGUGGGAGACAGUGUCAGGCGGGCAGUUUGACUGGGGCGGUCGCCUCCUAAAAGGUAACGGAGGCGCUCAAAGGUUCCCUCAGAAUGGUUGGAAAUCAUUCAUAGAGUGUAAAGGCAUAAGGGAGCUUGACUGCGAGACCUACAAGUCGAGCAGGGUCGAAAGACGGACUUAGUGAUCCGGUGGUUCCGCAUGGAAGGGCCAUCGCUCAACGGAUAAAAGCUACCCCGGGGAUAACAGGCUUAUCUCCCCCAAGAGUUCACAUCGACGGGGAGGUUUGGCACCUCGAUGUCGGCUCAUCGCAUCCUGGGGCUGUAGUCGGUCCCAAGGGUUGGGCUGUUCGCCCAUUAAAGCGGUACGCGAGCUGGGUUCAGAACGUCGUGAGACAGUUCGGUCCCUAUCCGUCGUGGGCGUAGGAAAUUUGAGAGGAGCUGUCCUUAGUACGAGAGGACCGGGAUGGACAUACCUCUGGUGUACCAGUUGUCGUGCCAACGGCAUAGCUGGGUAGCUAUGUGUGGACGGGAUAAGUGCUGAAAGCAUCUAAGCAUGAAUCCCCCCUCAAGAUGAGAUUUCCCAACUUCGGUUAUAAGAUCCCUCAAAGAUGAUGAGGUUAAUAGGUUCGAGGUGGAAGCAUGGUGACAUGUGGAGCUGACGAAUACUAAUCGAUCGAAGACUUAAUCAA
rnacentral:rRNA from 1 species